rnacentral:siRNA from 1 species
UUCAAAGAUUACCCGGGCCUGU